rnacentral:rRNA from 1 species
UCAAGAUUAGAUCUCUCUGAUGAAAAUCAGUAAGGAACGUUGGAGACUACGACGUUGAUAGGCUGGGUGUGGAAGUACAGCAAUGUAUGAAGCUUACCAGUACUAAUGAUCCGAGAGACUUAAGUCUAU